ensembl:lncRNA
AGGGGUUAGAGAGACCGGCCUCGGAUCAGUGUCAGCCUGGUUACAACAUAAAGACGGCCCAAACAACGGCACCGUCCAAGGGAGAGAGGAAGAGAGAGAGAAAACAUGUUGAUGGUCUGUCUCUUGGCAAACGAUAAUUCUAAUACAAACACGGGAAGUACCAUAAACACUUCUCCUCUCGCUCUCUGUCGCUCCCAACCCCUCUUUCUCUCUCUCUCUCUCUCUCUCUCUCUCUCUCUCUCUCUCUCUCUCUCUCUCUCUCCCUCUUCUUCUCCUACUUCCAUCACUGCUUUCCGCUCUGUGCUGUUGUGCUCUGGGGUUGGCAGCUAUGUUGGAGAGGCAGGCUUGUAUCCCCUUCUCCUCUCCCUCUGUGUCUCUCCGUCUCUCUGUGUAAACAGCCUGUGAGAGGAACUCUUGAACAGGCGCGGGGGAGCGACCAGCGGCCCUGUUAAAGCGUCAGCCCCUCUCCGCCAGGAGGGACAGAACGGUCUCUGCUCUGCACACAUUCUUCUCAAGCGCCCAUGGAGGUGCUGAGCAAGAAAAGAAGAAAAAGAGAGAGAGAGAGAGAGAGACUAAGAGUCCUGAGCUCUUUGGAUAACGAGACUCGAUUAGUUUAUGAUUAUUUUAAAUCUUUAUUUUAUAAACUAUAUCACAUGUGUUAUUAUAAUUUUUUCUCCUUUGUUCACUUUCUUUUCUUUUGUAAAAGAGAUGGUGCCAUCCUUUAGGUAUUUAAGAAUUGUUUAAAGACGUAUAGCAUAAUUAUAUUAUUUAAUCAUGUAGAAAAUAUAAAAAUAGAUUUAUUUAUCUCCAUGGGUCGGGGGCGGUGAGUGGGUGCUGAGCGCUAGAAGAUUUAGCUGUUCCUUCAAACGUAUUAACUGUCUCUUUUCGUUCUUCAUUUGUUCUUUUGGUUCAUUUCAAAUCUUUUUUUUUCACCGAUGGAACUGUAUGACCUGUUUUAGCGGGCGGGGAGGAACACAGCUCAUCGUGCGCUUUGAGCUCUGAACAGACCUAGGUUUGUGCGACUGGAGAGCGUCAGUCGGCCAUGCCGUCGUUAAAGUGCGUCCGCAUUGUGUCCCGAGUUAAUGCUAAACGUCAACGCGUUGCGUCGGUGGAACGUCAACCACGUCAACCAUGCUAAUAAUAACAACAAUGGGUCGCACAAUCUCCGGUCACUGAGGAGCGCAAAGCCACGAGGAGAAAGGCAUGUUUACGCAGAAGCGACGUUUCGCUAAUGAUCCUAAUGAGACAUAGAGUCCUCCUUCAGGGGGACGCUACGAUGUUUCUGAAUCUUAAGUGUUUUUUCAACCUUCUGCAUUUCUCUCCCCGGGGGGCAGUCAGCAUGUAUGCCUUCUGAAGAGAAAAAAAAAGAGAUAAGGAAGAGGAUGGAGGAAGAUAAGCUGAAGGAGAGCUUUGUGAUGCACCUUGACUCACGCAGACGUGGAUGAGUGGCACGUAAAGAGAGGUCACGUCGGGGGGAGAGAGCAUCCUCACACAAACAUGCAUACACACGCACACGCAUGCGCACACACAUGCAUGCACACACUCACACACAAAUUAUCGAAGACACUUAUGAGACCGGAUGUAUGGCUAGUUUUGUACGUUUGACCCAGCAACCCUUGAAAUGGAAAUCAGAGUACUUAAAGUCCGCUCAUGGCCGUGUGUGCUGCCGAGCCUAUAUCAAAAGGACAAUUAAAGAGGCUCCACUUCAAGCGCUUGGGCUACUUCGCUGUCCUUCGGUGCAUUUAUGAAGAGGAGCUUCAGGGUUCCCAUUCAAUUAUAAACACACAAGCACAUACAUAGGCAUGCACACACGCACACACACACACACACACACCCACACACACAUACACACCUAUACACACGGAAAGAAACAUGCACGCAUGCUCGCAAACAUACACACACACUCACUCCACUGUGUCAUCCCAAAUAUUUUUUGUCCAAAUCUGCACAGUAAUAUAUCAUUGUUCUGGCUCGCCUACAGAUGGGUGUUUAGGUUACAGAGUGUGUCUCUGUGGUGAAUCCACCUGGGACUCAGAGAUGUUUCACACACCUUAUCUAAACAUAGCUGGGACGACACGUCAGGGCAGCAGGAAGUGCAGCCCGCCUCUGUGUGUGUGUGUGUGUGUGUGUGUGUGUGUGUGUGUGUGUGUGUGUGUGUGUGUGUGUGUGUGUGUGUGUGUGUGUGUGUGUACAUGUGUGUGUGUGUUUGUGUGUGUUGUUGGAAUAAGCGAUGAGAAUAUAAAAACCUCUGGGGUAAACAUGGUUUAGUUGAUGGACACCUUGGAGUAUGGUGCGUGUGUGCAUGGGUGCGUGUUGGUGUGUGUCUCUGCUUUAGCCGUCUUCUCUCAACGUUUCUUUAAAUACGCCGUCCGUUGAUUGCAGAGAGAGGUGCAACAGGCAAAGGACGGAUAGCUGGACGAGCCUUUAGGUGUUAGUGUUAGUACCUCAUCGGCACCUCAUGCAAAGACACUCUGACUAACAGGACACAGAUAAGAUUACAGAUAAGGUACUUUAGGUUUGAUCUCCUGCAUUGGCUGUCCCUGUUAUACCGGUCCAUCGAGGGAUCAUCCAAUUACGUGGUGACGAGGGUCAGCAAACGGCUGAGAUGUCGCACCACUACAUGUGAGCUACAUCGCUGCACACUUGUCUGUCCUUUUCUGCUGUGAUGAAAGGUUUAUGCAGUGUCACGUCUUUUGAUACUACAUAUCUAGACAAAUACUGUCUACCUGCCCCAUUAUUUUCAGUAGAUGUUGUUUGAUUCCCAGGGUAGCCCCGCCCCCUACUGAGUGACAGGAUAGUUGACCAACUCGGUCACCUCACCUCAAAUCUCCACGCACACGCUGGCUCCCUCAGCAGAGCGUCCAUCAUUAUCAAACCCCAGAUGCUUGUAGCUCCGCUGGCAGCUUCUUGUUGUUUCAAUAAUUGAACGUCAGUGAACAUGGAUUCUGUAGCAGCAGCUGGGAUCUUGUUUAUCAUACGUCUGGCCUCAUUCUUCUCUGAAGAGCACUCACAAGCAAGCACACACAAGCACACACAAGCACACACACAGACACACUGCAUAGACUUCUUCUCUGGAUAAGUGGGGUGACUUCAUCUAUUGACGUCUCCUGCCUAAAGACUGACGCGCUGUUGUGUACGGGUGCGCUCUCUCCCCAACGUGAGACCUGACGGCUGCCUCUAAACCAUCUGCUGUUCAUUGUCAACGUGAGCGUAGAUCAUGCACAUUUUAUUUUCUCAUUUGUUUCUCUUUUUGACUUGUGGAUUUCUUUUGUCGUCUGCUCUUUUUCUACAGUGAUGCAUCAAAAAAGGUGAUUCGUUUUCUAUGUAAAGGGACUAAAAAGCUUUCUUUGUCAAUGUGCAAAACCAAGGGUAGUGAUGGAUAGUGAUUAGAAAAAAAAGAUAAAUCAUAUUUCCUCCCUUGCCAAAGUGAUAUGCAAAGCUAUGUUUCAUUUCAAAGAGUUUUUUUUUUUAAAUGCAUGUUUGACAGCUAUCGUAAGCAUGUUAAUACUUUUCUCUCCAAUGAAAUCUUUAAAGAAACCGUUUUUACUAGUCCAAGUUUAGGAGUUAGAGCUUUGAAGUCUCGAUGCCAAGUGUCUAUAAUCUCCAGCUCUUCAAAACCAGACGUUAAAAUCAACAACAACUCAAAGAUAUUUAUACCAAUUUCUUAACAAAACUCUCCCUUUAUUUCCUACCAAUAAUACCUUUUGAAACCUUCUACCUAAAGAAAUUCAACAAUUCCUAUAUGAUACAGUUGGUGUUAUCCUUGAAACGUCACCAAAAAGUGAACCCAACCACAAGUCUAAGGUUUGAUACGACGCUCCCAUGUCUGACCCCUUGUGACCUCCCAGAACAUUCCAGGUGGCGCCCCCUAGCACACUGCCCAGCUGACACUCUUUGAUAGCCUGUUUCCCUGUCAAUUUAAGACAAGAAUAAACCAUUUUGUAUGAAGCUAUGAAACGCCACUCACCAGUAUCACUAACAAUCCCCGUAAGCUUGCCAACUAUAACACGUACAGGAAUCCAAGACCAACCAACUCAGGAAAGAAUGCAAUGCUGAUGUUUUAACACCAAUCUUUUAUGAACACAAUUUUUUUUUUAAUAGAAGUUGUACUGCUCCUGAUGUCAGCAUGCUUUCUUUAGGAUAACCUGAUGCUUCACCCUCUGGUGCUACUGGCUUUAGGAUAGAAGACACCUCACCAUCACAUGCUUAUGUGGCACAACACCAGAGCCAAUGAUUCCGUACUAAUUUGAUGGAUGGCUGUUAGAAGUGUUACUGCUGUGUCGCUCCCACCUGCAAAGCGCUCACAUUUGCUUAUGAAGGAAGUGGAUUUUGGAAUCAACUCAUCCAUUGAGGAAGAAAUUGUAUUUGUUAGAAGGCAGAUUGAAAUGACUCCUCAGGAACGCCGCUGAAAGCCUUUUCAAGAAUAAACGCCAAGCUAGCUUAUACAUCUUACAAUCAUGAAUCAUGAACUGGUAACUAAAAUGUUCUUCAAAUCAAACGUUAUUAAACCAAGUAAAGCAGCUGGUUCAUAAGUAGGCAAUAAGCAGCUAACUCAAACAUUUAAGGGCUUCUAAAACACUCAAAAGCCAUAUUUUGCUACAAAGAAAACUACAAAGUCCUUUUUGAAAGUUAAGUAUCAAUACUAUUCUGCUAAAAGGACAAUGGAAGUGAUGGAUGACGGCACAAAAAACAUAUAUUCAGUUGCAGAAGGUUUUUGAUAGGAAAUUUAACUAAACGACUCAAGGUCUUUUUAUCACUUAAAUAGGAUUUGUUUUAAAUACGUUCCAAACCCAAGACUUACUGCUCUGUCAAAUUAGAAGAGAGGUGAGACAUACAUUUUAAAAUGUCUUUGAACCUUCCCUCCAGAAUCUGUCAGUGUUUUCUACUGACCCUGCUGAGCACAGCUUUGAUUAUUAAGAGUUCAGGUUUCUACUGAUGGCGCAACCUGAAGCACUAACGGAGUAAACUCCAAUCGCGUGGAUUACUUCCUUGGCCGCAGACUGAGUAGCCAGGCAGGACCCACAGUCCUCUUCAGACCCGCCGGUCCCGACGUGGUCUCGAUCCAACUUUCCCUGCCAAUGUGUUUAUUCAUUUUUUUUUACUACAAGGAUUUCCAAAUGCAAGCUCAGAAGCGACGCAUUCAGAGGAAGAUGUAUAUCCCUGUCUCUAUAUCUCUCUACAACUCCAUAUAUCACAGUAUACCUAUAUCUAUAUAAGCAGCUAUAUCUGUCAUAUCUAUUAUAUCUAUAGGAUCAGAGACCACAGCCAGCGGGGGUCAGAGGUGCAGUGUCUUUCCUGCCGUAAUACCCCCCCAAACAAACACCCACACACACACACCAAACCGUCAUUAAACCUCUGAGCCAACACACCGACUGGUGUGUAUAGUCCACGCCAGGACGGUUACUAUGACGACCGCGAUGGAGGAUAAGGCCUGGAGCGCGAUGGGUCAGGGAGAGCGGUAUCGGAGUGUGUCUAUAUUUGGUGCUCGUGUUUUUGGACCCGUCCUCCCGGAAUUGGGAGAGGGGGACAGCAGGUAACAAUGGCAGCCGGAGACGGGCUACCUCACUACCCCACUGUCUCACCGCACCGUCACACCACCGCAGACCCCGACACUAAAGUGAACAACACGCCACAGUCCAAGGUACACACACUCACAGUCACACAUGCGCGCACGGUUCAAAUGCAAUUUGUUUUUUUUUCGAGUGAAAAUCUGUUGCUUUGAAUUGCAGAUUAUUUUUUUGUACCUGACAGCCCUUCUUGGAAGGCUCACUGUAUAUUUCUGACUGGUGUACUGUAUGUAAAGAGAUGAAUUAAACCUUGAAUGUUUUAACAUGCAAUAGCCUUCAACUGCUGAUUUAUGGCGUGUGUGUGAGUGUGUGUCUUUGUGUGCAUGUGUUAGUAUAUGUGUGUGGGGGGUUGUACGCGCACGUCCAGUAUGUAUUUGUGCAUCUCAUAUCUUAGGUGGGUAGAUGUGUGCUAGAUACAUGCAGUACAAACAAACUCAAUGUCCACUCAAAAGGUAACAAAACAACAUGAAUGCAUGUCAACAGGUUUAUUCAGCGUAUAGACGGAAAAUAGAUGUGUGUCCAGUAUAUGCACACAGAGAGGGCUGUGUGCAGCCUAGCUGGUCCUGGUAACUCAGUAGGUUACACUGAAACCUUUCAGCGGGAUUAAAGCCGUUGACGCUGACAAGAGGAGAGAGAGGAGGAUGGAGAGAAACAGAGGAAGGCAGCGUGUGUAUACUGUGCAUGUGUGUGUAUGUGUGUGUGUACUUUGUGUGUGUGCCUUUGUAUGUGUGUGUGUGUGCACUUUGUGUGUACUGUGUGUUUACGUUGUGUGUGUGCCUUUUGUGUGUGUGUGUGUGUGUGUGUGUUUGUGUGUGUGUAUUUCUGUGUGUGUAUGUGUGUGUACUGUGUCCACAACCACAUGAGAUAACUGCAGUCCCCCCCAUCUCAAACCAACCGCUCUUUGGAAACAGAAGCCAGCAUCCAGUAGUUACAUCAGGAGAGACACCGAUCAAGUGAUGCAUGAAAGCAUUUAGGAAUACAACAUCUGUGUGUAUUGUUACUGUCUGUGAGUGCCUGAGUACACAUAUAUGUGUCUCAUGUAUGUGUGUGUGUGUGUGUGUGUGUGUGUGUGUG